rnacentral:lncRNA from 1 species
CGAUUUUUUUUUGGCGUAUAACAAGUAUUUUCUGCGCACAAUUGCAGUCUUGCAGAGACUUAUAAUCUCUCGAAUCUUGUGGGAGUCAAAUGAUGACAAACUCUCCCUAAGAAUUUUAACACUGCUACGUAUCCAAGUCAAGAAUCGAACCCGAAACUUUUAAUUAAGUUAGAAGUAUAAAGAUAAAAUUACAAGAUCCGUGAGAUCAUAAAAAUAAAAAUAAAUAAAAUAACAAUUAUAGGGUGCCAGCACAAUAAUUAAAUGGCAACUAUACAUGGAGUAUUUUGGUAUAAAAUAUAUUCCAUAAUUUUUUGCCCGUGCAAGAACUUAUUCUUCCUUGCAUGGCGUAAGUGUACACUCCUGGAUCUAGUACUCAUACAAUCGGUUGCUACUCUAGAUUAAUUAAUUUAUAUCUACAUUGGUUGUUAAUACACUUAUACUUGCGGAACCAACUUUUUGGACAAUCUUCAACAGUUAUACAUACAGGGUAUGCUGUAAUAAAAAAGAGAUCAAAUUAAAAUAGUGUUACUAAAAUCGGACAAAAGGUUGUGGAUNNNNNNNNNNNNNNNNAGAAUUUUAACCAUACUUUUUCACUUUGCAUGUAAUAACUAAAAUAUAAUUUGAUCCACUUUAUAGUGUAUAAAAACAUGUUAUGCCCCGUAAAAAAAAAUGUUAUGCUAAAAACAAUUAAAU